rnacentral:rRNA from 1 species
ACUCAAAUGAAUAGACGGGGGCCCGCACAAGCGGUGGAACAUGUGGUUUAAUUCGACACUACGCGAGGAACCUUACCUAGGCUUGACAUGCAUUUGACCGUCGUAGAAAUACGAUUUUUCGGGCUUCGGUCCGGACGGAUGCACAGGUGCUGCAUGGCUGUCGUCAGCUCGUGUCGUGAGAUGUUGGGUUAAGUCCUCUAACGAGCGCAACUCCUGCUAUCAGUUGCUAUCCUUUUGGAGCACUCUGAUGGGACUGCCUGGGAAACCAGGAGGAAGGUGGGAAUGACGUCAAGUCCUCAUGGCCCUUAUGUCUAGGGCUACACACGUGUUACAAUGGUCGGUACAAAGGGCUGCUAAUCCGCAAGGACAUGCUAAUCCCAAAAAGCCGAUCUAAGUUCAGAUUGGGGUCUGCAACUCGACCCCAUGAAGUUGAAAUCGCUAGUAAUCGCAUAUCAGAACGAUGCGGUGAAUACGUUCUCGGGCCUUGUACACACCGCCCGU